rnacentral:rRNA from 1 species
GUUGGUGACUAUUGGCCUGGUGUUCACCUCUUCCCAUCCCGAACAGAGAAGUUAAGCCCAGAACCGCCGAUGAUACUUGG